rnacentral:lncRNA from 1 species
UGAUUGAUUUGUUUAAUCUAGCCCUUUUAAUUUUGCAGGGUGAAUUAUCUGCUAUCCUUUUUUCUUUUAUUACCACAAACGAGGGUGAGUGGUAUUUUUCCCCUCAAAUUGGACCCUUUUGCUUGUUUGCAAAUUAAAUUUUGGAUCUGAAUGGUAACUACUAUCAGAUUUUGGAAUACAUUUGCUACAUUUUUGUUAACUGUUGUAAUUUCUCUCUGUCCGGUAGUUGUCGCGAUUUGAGACCGCGGUUGUCUCUUCAAAUUAACAGGAAAAAAUAGUUUCAGGAAGAAAAGCUCCG